GACGAACGCUGGCGGCGUGCUUAACACAUGCAAGUCGAACGGAAAGACCCUGCGUUUGUGGGGUGCUCGAGAGGCGAACGGGGGAGUAACACGUGAGUAAACUGCCCUUGACUGUGGGAUAAAUUCAGGAAACUGGGGCUAAUACCGGAUAGGAGCUCCUGCUGCAUGGGGGGGGUUGGAAAGUUUCGGCGGUGGGGGCUGGACUAGCGGCUUAUCAGCUUGUUGGUCGGGUAGGGGCUUACCAAGGCUUUGACGGGUAGCCGGCCUGGGAGGGUGACCGGCCACCUUGGGACUGCGAUACGCCCCAGACUCCUACGGGAGGCAGCAGUGGGGAAUAUUGCGCAGUGGGCGGAAGCCUGAUGCAGCAAUGCCGCGUGCGGGAUGCCGGCUUUCGGGUUGUGAACCGCUUUCGCCUGUGCCGAAGCGUGAGUGACGGUACUGGGUAAAGAAGCACCGGCUAACUACGUG
rnacentral:rRNA from 1 species